AAGAUCUAUUUUCUCCAUCUUUUUUCUUCCUCAGAAAUAGUCAUUAGUAGGAAUUCCUACCUUUAAAAAAAAACCUAUAAGAAUAUUCAACCAACCAGGCAAUAUUGAUUGAUUGAGUCUUACACUAUCUAUGCCAGGCACUGGGGGAGAUAUUUAAAAAGUUAAAAACUAAUAGUGGCCUUUUAUUCAUUCAUCCAAGUAAUGCUUAAUUAAAUAUUUAUCACAUAUCAGGCACCUGCUAGGUACUAGGGAUUUUAAAAAACACACAAAAAAACUAAGAUAGGUCUCCUUGCUAAAGUAGCCCAUAGUCCAAAACCUGUCUGGAUCAGUGGUUCCCAACCAGGGGUGAUUUUGCCCCCAGCGGGUAUCUGACAGCAUCUGCAGAAAUCCUUGGUUGGCACCACUGGGAGGGUUCAGGGGAUGCUCAUGGCAGCCAGUGGGCAGAGAUCAGGGAUGCUGCUCAGCCUCUCCCAAUGCACAGGAUAGUCCCCACAGCACAGAAUUAGAAACCCUAACAUAUCAAUAUGCUGAGGUUGAGAAACCCUGCAAGCCCACUGGCCCCUUCACUGGAAGGAGUACACACUCUCCGGGUGUGAAUUAACAGAGCCUUAGAGCCACCUCCUGCCCUCCCUUCACCAGGUGAGGCUGGAACAGGGCAAGGUCCCUAACUGAAGAGAAGGUAACCGGCACCACCAUCAUUCAGAUGCAUUACAGUGGCUCCGCUAGGAGGAGGCUCAGGGCUUCCGCCAUCAGAUCCCAGCAGUUCCCCCCCGUAACAGCCCAGCCAGAAGGCACGUCCAGAGUGAUGGCCUGAGCUAGCUUUUUGCUGAGAGCAGCCAAGUUUCUACUGUCAACCCUGGAAAGGCAUAAGUCCUUUUGAGUAAUAUUACUAAAAGCCAGUGACAAUCUUACAAUUCAGACAUAGCAUUUGCACCUAAGUUGAAACUACUAUAAAAUUUUUGUAGCAUCUUCCUUAUGCUUAUGUAUUAACUCUGUGUUUACAUGUAAAAAGUGGCCUUACAACCAUGAAGUUUAGUGUAGCCACUAGCUGCUCAUGGCUAUUCAAAUUUACAUUAGUUGAAAUUAAAUAGUAUUUAAAAUUUACUCCUCAGUCACACUAGUCACAUUUAAAGUGCUCACCACAUAUGCCUACUGGCUACUGAAUUGGACAGUUUAUAGAACAUUUCUAUUAUUACAGAAAAUUCUAUCAGAGAGUACUGUCUUACAAGCCAUUUCUAAGGCUCUUCGCCAGUAUGUACAGUUACUGCUUUAAAAAAAAAAAAAAGGCUUGUUUUCUAGCAGUCGAGGCAUCAGGGUACAUGCUUUACCUUAUCUCAUUAUCAGUAUCUGUUAGAAAGACACAGACAUGUUCUGCUGGGAGGAUCAUCUCGUGUCUGACAAAAUUUUGUGAAAGUUUAUGUAAUGAAUGUUGGAUAACAUAUCAGAUGAUUGAAACUGAUUUUCCAGAAGGUAGGACAAUGUAAAACUCAAGUAGAUAACCCCUAUCAGGCAUUUCUGAUCUAAGUCAAGUGUGUAUUGUUAAAUAUUAAUUCCAUUAAGUUAUAUCAGCAGAGAAUUAAGAUAUGUGACCCAAAUAUAUAUCUUUCUAGUAAUUGAGUAUAAUAGAGAACUGCUGUUUAGUGGAUCUCAGCUGGGGAUGGAGAGGGAUGAAGGGAGGAGGGGAGGAUCAGAAUGACCUAAGCAUUCUUGCAAAGUGCACAGAGUGUCACCACGUAAGGUUCGUCAGAGUGGUGGGCUGGGCAGGUGGAUGGGUAGGGAAGGUCUCGCACGUGUAGAUGCUGACAAAGCUCUCCACGUAAUUCCAAAGUCCCCAGUCCCAGUGAAGACUGUUUAGAGAAAUGAAAAGGAAAAUUAGUGUGUCUCUUCCAUGGUAUGAUGGGUGGGCUGUGGAGGGGGCAAGUGCAGCUUAAAAAAGACACUUGGUCCCCACCUCUAGACAGGAUUCCAUCCACCCUGUGUGGGUCCAGCUGUCUGCUCGGUUCUCUCUCACUGCCAUUCUUUCAAAUGACCUCUGGCUGUUCCCGUCUUCCCUUCCCCACAAGCCAUUCAGAGUGAUCGACUGGGUUUAGAACAGCUGCCUUAGGCAUCUCUUGCCAAUAUCAGGUGUCUCUAGCAAGCUUUUAUAAGUGAUCACUAUCUGUUCUUGGAUGCACUUUCUGAUCAGUGCCUGAAAUGAUGAUACUGUGUGCUUCUGAUCAAAGGAGCUGUCACAUGUGCCACUGGUGCACUGACCUGAGAGGACACUCAGCUGAGGAAGUUCAGGAGCCCCCUUUUGUAUUUUUCACUCAGGUUGAAGGAUAUCUAUCGCCCUUCCACAGAAAGCAGAAAGCUUUGGCUUACCCACCUGGAAAGACAGAGCUGACCUGGAAGUUAUGCUUAAAGAAGAAAGAGGCAAGACCCUCUUAGGUAACUCGAAGAGUAUAAGGAUCCAGAGAUAAAAGACCACUGCCCUGAACUUUUCCGAAGCGCAAUAAACCUUUCUGCAUAGGAUUCUCCAGUCGUUGCCAAAGUAUCUUUUAUCUUUUUGCUUCUGUCUUAAGACAGACUAGAAAAAAAAAAUAGUGAAUGAACCCCCUCCCAUUAGAUUGUGUAUUUGAGCUUAAAAGCCAUGAAACUGCUACUAUUCAAGUUAUUUCCAUCAUGUAAAAUAAAUUUUUAUAGUUCCUCAGCAAUAUUCUGACUCUAAUUUGAUUGUGGCUUGUGGAUUUGUCUGUUUCCUCGCCCAGAGCUGAUCCCCCCCGCCCCCUUUCUGUUUCUCAUUCUCUCCCUCUCUGUCUCUCUCCUUUUGCUUAUGCUUUUGUGUGUUGAGAUCAUCUCUCUACUGA